GUGCUCACGCGCACAGCAUGGACACUCACGCUGGAACAAUACCAAGACUAGCAUGGACCCUGUACAAGGAUGGCACACAAAUUUGUGAAAUGUUCAAUGUUUUU